rnacentral:rRNA from 1 species
UACGUAGGGGGCAAGCGUUGUCCGGAAUCAUUGGGCGUAAAGCGCGUGUAGGCGGCUCGAUAAGUCUGCUGGGAAAGUCCAGGGCUCAACCCUGGGAUGCCGGUGGAUACUGUCGAGCUCGAGUCCGGAAGAGGCGAGUGGAAUUCCUGGUGUAGCGGUGAAAUGCGCAGAUAUCAGGAGGAACACCAAUGGCGAAGGCAGCUCGCUGGGACGUGACUGACGCUGAGACGCGAAAGCGUGGGGAGCAAACAGG